rnacentral:rRNA from 1 species
UACAGAGGUCUCAAGCGUUGUUCGGAUUCAUUGGGCGUAAAGGGUGCGUAGGUGGUGAUGCAAGUCUGGUGUGAAAUCUCGGAGCUCAACUCCGAAAUUGCACCGGAUACUGCAUGACUCGAGGACUGUAGAGGAGAUCGGAAUUCACGGUGUAGCAGUGAAAUGCGUAGAUAUCGUGAGGAAGACCAGUUGCGAAGGCGGAUCUCUGGGCAGUUCCUGACACUGAGGCACGAAGGCCAGGGGAGCAAACGGG